rnacentral:rRNA from 1 species
UACGUAGGGGGCAAGCGUUGUCCGGAUUUAUUGGGCGUAAAGAGCGUGUAGGCGGCUAGGUAGGUCCGUUGUGAAAACUCGAGGCUCAACCUCGAGACGCCGGUGGAAACCAUCUAGCUAGAGUCCGGAAGAGGAGAGUGGAAUCCCUGGUGUAGCGGUGAAAUGCGCAGAUAUCAGGAAGAACACCCGUGGCGAAGGCGGCUCUCUGGGACGUGACUGACGCUGAGGCGCGAAAGCUAGGGGAGCAAACGGG